AAGAAGCAGCAGAGUUGCUGAUGCAAGCGUUGUUCGGAAUCACUGGGCGUAAAGCGCGCGCAGGCGGCUUUUUAAGUUAGGAGUGAAAGCCUUGGGCUUAACCCAAGAAAUGCUCUUAAGACUGGAAAGCUAGAGUGUGGGAGAGGAUAGUGGAAUUCCGUGUGUAGAGGUGAAAUUCGUAGAUAUACGGAGGAACACCGAUGGCGAAGGCACCUAUCUGGAACACAACUGACGCUGAGGCGCGAAAGUGUGGGGAUCAAACAGGAUUAGAUACCCUGGUAGUCCACACCGUAAACGAUGCAUACUAGAUGUCGGGAGGUCUGACCUUUCGGUGUCGCAGCUAACGCGUUAAGUAUGCCGCCUGGGAAGUACGGUCGCAAGACUAAAACUCAAAGGAAUUGACGGGGACCCGCACAAGCGGUGGAGUAUGUGGUUUAAUUCGAAGCAACGCGCAGAACCUUACCAAGGUUUGACAUGGUGAUUACCGGAUAGAGAAAUUUAUCCUUCAGUUCGGCUGGGUCACACACAGGUGCUGCAUGGCUGUCGUCAGCUCGUGUCGUGAGAUGUUGGGUUAAGUCCCGCAACGAGCGCAACCCUCGUCCUUAGUUGCCAUCGGGUCAUGCCGGGAACUCUAGGGAUACUGCCGGUGAUAAGCCGGAGGAAGGUGGGGAUGACGUCAAGUCCUCAUGGCCCUUACGCCUUGGGCUACACACGUACUACAAUGGCGAUGACAGAAGGAAGCUUGCUCGUGAGAGUUGGCAAAUCCAGAAAAAGUCGUCUCAGUUCAGAUUGUACCCUGCAACUCGGGUGCAUGAAGUUGGAAUCGCUAGUAAUCGCGCUAAGUAUGCCGCCUGGGAAGUACGGUCGCAAGACUAAAACUCAAAGGAAUUGACGGGGACCCGCACAAGCGGUGGAGUAUGUGGUUU
rnacentral:rRNA from 1 species